UUCUCCACAUGUGAUGUUCUUGAUGUGAGAUUCAGAGACAGACUGAAGCUGGAUCAUCAGACUGGAUCUCUGAUCAUCACAAACACCAGAAACACAGACUCUGAAGUGUAUGACGUAACCAUCAGAAGUAGGAAAGAGACCAUGUACAGAUUCAGUGUCUCUGUUACUGUCUCUGAGUAGUCAAAUGUAUCAGAAGGAGGUGAAUGGAGCAGAUUGAGAGGGAGAAUGUGAAGAAACAGCAGGUGGCGCUAGUGCACUGUUUUAGUUUGGGAUCUGCUGUUAGAAGGAAGAAGAAGGAGAAAGCAGAUGAAGUCGUGUCAGGUGACAAACAUCAAUCGUGAAGAUCGCACAGGUGUUUAACAGCGAUCACAAACCGGAAGUGUUUGAAAGACUUCUGGAUUCUGUUCCUGCAGCACAAGAUCGUCUGAACUACUGCAAGUCAUGAUGAGCAUCUGAUCUUCUUCAGAGA